AUUGAACGCUGGCGGCAGGCCUAACACAUGCAAGUCGAGCGGAUGAAGGGAGCUUGCUCCUGGAUUCAGCGGCGGACGGGUGAGUAAUGCCUAGGAAUCUGCCUGGUAGUGGGGGGUAACGUCCGGAGACGGGCGCUAAUACCGCAUACGUCCUGAGGGAGAAAGUGGGGGAUCUUCGGACCUCACGCUAUCAGAUGAGCCUAGGUCGGAUUAGCUAGUUGGUGGGGUAAAGGCCUACCAAGGCGACGAUCCGUAACUGGUCUGAGAGGAUGAUCAGUCACACUGGAACUGAGACACGGUCCAGACUCCUACGGGAGGCAGCAGUGGGGAAUAUUGGACAAUGGGCGAAAGCCUGAUCCAGCCAUGCCGCGUGUGUGAAGAAGGUCUUCGGAUUGUAAAGCACUUUAAGUUGGGAGGAAGGGCAGUAAGUUAAUACCUUGCUGUUUUGACGUUACCAACAGAAUAAGCACCGGCUAACUUCGUG
rnacentral:rRNA from 1 species